rnacentral:lncRNA from 1 species
UGAAAUUUUGAGACGUUGAGCCGAGGUGCCGAGUAGCUCUCUAGCAAAACCCAUGACGACAAUGGGUGGCGGCUCCUCUUGGGGCCGUCUUUGGCCUCAAAUGGCAGUGGCUUUAGCAGCUAUACUAGUUGUGGUUUCAAGCAAUGUGGGUUCAGUUGAAGCAAAUGCUUAUCCCUACUCUUCACCCCCACCACCACCUUAUGUUUAUAGCUCACCACCACCUCCUGUUCACUCUCCACCACCGCCAUAUGUCUACAUGUCUCCACCACCUCCGUCACCGUCACCACCGCCGCCUUAUGUGUACAAGUCACCACCACCACCAUCACCAUCCCCACCACCGACUUAUGAGUACAAGUCUCCCCCACCGCCUUCUCCUUCACCACCACCACCUUAUGUGUACAAGUCUCCACCUCCUCCACCAAAAGAACUACCUCCGUACCACUACAAGUCUCCACCACCACCUUCUCCUUCACCGCCGCCACCUUACCACUAUACAUCUCCUC